rnacentral:lncRNA from 1 species
GAAAAGGUGCAGCGAAAGCGAACUAUGCAAAGAAGGACGGGUUUAGCUGGUGCCUGCAGUGCAGAUGAAGAGGCGGCCGUGUGCCCCAGCAGUUGGACAACGGUGUCCGCGUCUUUCCUCGGAAUGGAUGAACCACGUCAGCUAGCACUCCGUCUUGUGGAAACAGAUUCAGUCAGGAGCGAUCGCGCAUCGUCAAACUGUUUUGAGCUUGUGUCAUCUGCAUACAACAGGUCCACUCCUGUGUCUGUCAGUGGUGGAAGCAAGCGAACUAACUCUCCUCAGCCUCUCGAGGAAAGGCAUUUUUAGGGGAGUAUCAUGGCCUUCACAGAAGAGACGAAGGAAAGGGUGCGUGGUGUAAGGCCUAUUAUACUGGAAUGUGCAGUCUGCAGUUAACUACGCGGUUGUUGACAACAGAGGGCUUCAUGGGUGUAUAACGGCGUGCUUCACCGUACCUAGGGCAACUCGUUACGGGAUAGAGACAACCAAGUUCCUUGUGACUAUAUCUCAGCUUAUGAAUGCGAAUCAGGCAUGUGAAUUUCAGGACUUCUAUCAAUUCCACGAAUGCGGACUUUCUAAAUUGUUUACGUUGCACAUCUGCAGCAGCCCAUCACGACGAUUGGCAACUCGCGGGUGUCGUCCGAUGAAAUGUCGACAGCAUACCAGCCAUGAUCUCAGAGCGUCACUUCUGUUUCAAGUACAUGGCCAGAAAUGAAACGACGCAGGAGCGCGCGGGAGGGAAUGUGCAGGUGGCUCUUUUAUCGAAGGUGCAAGAGAGCACAAAGCAUACGUCGUCAGCUCUUCUUUAGUGGAAGCGAGCAAAAGAGCACCAGGCAUUCUUUUUUUCUGACAGAAACAAGCUGAAAGGGAAAAGUGUGCUAUGAUGCCUGGUGAGUGCAACCAGUAGAGGUACGGCAACCGUCGGUGGCUGGGCUGCGACUCGCAGCCAGCGAUAAACGAAAUCGGCCCCCAUAUGCUUAUGAGAUAUCACCUGUUUCCGAAGCUCGAAACGACAAUGUGUAGGAAAUAUCGGCACCACGAGUGUUGCCACGAAAAAAGAUGGAAACACAGCGAAACUAAUGUGAAGCGUGCCCGCAAGUGAUGGGGCCACAGAGACCACUCUUCUUGUUAUGUUUUCCGAAUGCAGACCAGAGAAAGGGAUCUCGACAUUGCCAUCUGGAUGUCUUUUCUCACACUGUGGUGUGGCAUGCCUUCGUCGCUCACUGUCGAUUUCUGUAAAAGACGGUCCUCGAUGUUCGCCUGCUGUUCUUACCGCACUGAUGUUGCGCACCUGACCGCACGGAAGCACACAUUUCCUGUCAGUCAGAAAAAAAUAUAGACUUUCUUAGCAUAUAUUGCUCCAGAGACUGG